rnacentral:rRNA from 1 species
UCCUACGGGGAAGCAGCAGUGAGGAAUAUUGGUCAAUGGGCGCAAGCCUGAACCAGCCAUCCCGCGUGAAGGAUGAAUGCCUUAUGGGUUGUAAACUUCUUUUGUACCUGAAGAAACUCUGGGUCGUGACCUGGACUGCCGGUAGGGUACGAAUAAGCAUCGGCUAACUCCGUGCCAGCAGCCGCGGUAAUACGGAGGAUGCAAGCGUUAUCCGGAUUUAUUGGGUUUAAAGGGUGCGCAGGUGGUUGAAUAAGUCAGUGGUGAAAGUCUGCCGCUUAACGGUAGGAUUGCCAUUGAUACUGUUUGACUUGAGUUUAGGUGAGGUAGGCGGAAUGUGUAGUGUAGCGGUGAAAUGCAUAGAUAUUACACAGAACACCGAUUGCGAAGGCAGCUUACUAAUCUACAACUGACACUGAGGCACGAAAGCGUGGGGAUCAAACAGGAUUAGAUACCCUGGUAGUCCACGCUGUAAACGAUGAUCACUCGCUGUUUGCGAUAUACAGUAAGCGGCUAAGCGAAAGCGAUAAGUGAUCCACCUGGGGAGUACGAUCGCAAGGUUGAAACUCAAAGGAAUUGACGG